rnacentral:rRNA from 1 species
AUUGAACGCUGGCGGCAGGCCUAACACAUGCAAGUCGAACGAGUGGCGGACGGGUGAGUAAUUUCUGGGAACCUGCCCGAUGGAGGGGGAUAACUACUGGAAACGGUAGCUAAUACCGCAUACCAUCGGAUGUGCCCAGAUUGGAUUAGCUAGUAGGUGGGGUAACGGCUUACCUAGGCGACGAUCCCUAGCUGGUCUGAGAGGAUGACCGGCCAAACUGGAAAUGAGACACGGUCCAGACUCCUACGGGAGGCAGCAGUGGGGAAUAUUGCACAAUGGACGCAAGCCUGAUGCAGCCAUGCCGCGUGUAUGAAGAAGGCCUUCGGGUUGUAAAGUACUUUCAGCGAGGAGGCGUUACUCACAGAGGAAGCACCGGCUAACUCCGUGCCAGCAGCCGCGGUAAUUC